rnacentral:rRNA from 1 species
UACGGAAGGGGCAAGCGUUGUUCGGAAUCAUUGGGCGUAAAGGGCGCGUAGGUGGUUCUGUAUGUCUACCGUGAAAGCGUACGGCUCAACCGUAUUUUGUCGGUGGAAACUGCAGGACUUGAGGCUGGGAGGGGCUGGUGGAAUUCCCUGUGUAGCGGUGAAAUGCGUAGAGAUGGGGGAGAACACUCGUGGCGAAGACGGCCAGCUAGACCAGUUCUGACACUGAGGCGCGACAGCGUGGGGAGCAAACAGG